rnacentral:piRNA from 1 species
AACAGAAGUAGCUUUGGCCAGGA